rnacentral:rRNA from 1 species
GAUGAACGCUGGCGGCGUGCCUAACACAUGCAAGUCGAGCGAAGCACCUUACUUGAUUUCUUCGGGAUGAAAGUAUUGUGACUGAGCGGGCGACGGGUGAGUAACGCGUGGAUAACCUGCCUCAUACAGGGGGAUAACAGUUAGAAAUGACUGCUAAUACCGCAUAAGCCCACGACCCGGCAUCGGGUUGAGGGAAAAGGAGCAAUCCGCUUUGAGAUGGCCUCGCGUCCGAUUAGCUAGUUGGUGAGGUAACGGCCCACCAAGGCAACGAUCGGUAGCCGGACUGAGAGGUUGAACGGCCACAUUGGGACUGAGACACGGCCCAG